UCAAGAAACUUCCACAAUGGGCGAAAGCCUGAUGGAGCGACGUCGCGUGAUGGACGAAGUGCUUCGGCACGUAAACAUCUUUUAUGUGGGAUGAAAUUAUUGACAGUACCACAUGAAUAAGGGGCUCCUAACUCUGUGCCUGCAGGAGCGGUAAUACAGAGGCCCCAAGCGUUAUCCGGAAUCACUGGGCGUAAAGGGUGUCGAGGCGGUUGUAUUAGUCGUUCGUAAAAUCUACGAGCUUAACUUGUAGGCGGCGAACGAAACGGUACGACUUGAGGUUUGGAGAGGUGCGUGGAACUCACGGUGUAGGGGUGAAAUCCGUUGAUAUCGUGGGGAACACCAAAGGCGAAGGCAGCGCACUGGCCAAAAUCUGACGCUCACACACGAAAGCUAGGGUAGCGAAGAGGAUUAGAUACCCUCGUAGUCCCUGAGCGGGCUGGCAAGGCGCAU
rnacentral:rRNA from 1 species